UCUUGUGCAAAAUCUAUCAAGGCCUGAAAACUCUCCAUUGUCGAUCGACGGGCCUUGGCAAUUCGCCCCUCAACCUCCCGCUUGGCAUUAGCAACCUGGUCCUCGACCAUCUUUUCAGCCUCCAUAACUUUGGCAGUGGCCUCUCAUAGCUCCUCCUCCAUCCGAGCAAGGUCGGCAUUAGUUGUAUUUAGCAUCUCCUUCAGGUGCUCAACCUCCCCCCUGGUAGUCUCGAUCUACGCACGCACCUCCAUCAUGGCAAACUUAGCCUGUCCAUAUCCUUCAUCAUCUCUACUCUGCAUGUGCGGUUUAAAAGAAUGAUCAAAAAAUGGUGCAUUUGCACCAAAGCCACGUCAAGGAAGGAGAUGAAGAAUAGAGAAGAAAUCAAAAAAAU
rnacentral:lncRNA from 1 species